GAUGGUGUAUUUUGUGUUGGCGACGCUCUGGUGUGCUCCAGUGGCAUCGAUCUUCGGCGGUUGCUAUGCUCCGGCAGAUGAGGCGACGUUGUUGCUCUUUCAGAUGGGGGCGAUGUUGUUGCUCUUUCACAGCAAACUGCAAAUAAAAGUGAAAAUGUUCUAACGUUUUUAGGGUUUUAAUUGGGUAAAUGGGCUGUACAAUAACUGAUGGGCUAACCUUUUAAAAUAAAUUAGUUUUGUAAGUGGAUAUUUCAAGUUAUGCGUCGGUUGCUGUUGGAAAAACUCAAAUACAUAUUUAUGUUUAAUUAUUGCCUUUUGGUUGCUUUAUAUAUUUAUACUAGCAAGGGUUAAGGGUCGUGCUAAGCCCGGCCCACGAAGUGUAAUUUAGAUAUAUUACCAACAAACAGUAUUGAAUUCAAGAUGUGAUGAUGAUAUUUAACUUGAUACAUAUUUAACUUCAUACAUAUUCGAGAAGUCGAUGUUCCAGAUGGUAGUACAUUAGUAGAAUGCAAUGAGAUGGNAAAAAAUAUAUAUAUAUAUAUAUAAAAUCAGUUAUUUUAUAUUAUUUUACUUUUUUUAACAAUUUUUUUUGCUAUGUUCAUAGUUUUACGAAAAAGAUGGCGAAUUUUUACGAGGAAAACUUAAAUGAAGGCAAUGAAUUCUUUAUGGGGAUAUCACCGUUUUUCACCAAACGGGUAUGAUACUUAUCAUGAUAUUGAUUUUUUUUAAUCAUUGUAAUGUUCACUAGUUAUUAACAGAGAUUAUUUGAAUUUUAGGUGUUCUAUUCUCUAAAUGAGUUGAUGGGAUGGGUCCAAAACAAAGCAUUUUCGCUUGGUUAUGUCAUCGUGAGAAGAAGAUCAAAGACAAAUGAAAACGGUGUGGUGUCUUAUGUCACACUUAUUUGUGAUCGUGGUGGUGAAUACAAAAUUAAAGCAACAAGUAAAAUUCCGGUACAAAAAAAUCAAUUGUCCAUUUAAAUUGGUAGGUUCGUAUAUAAAACAAUUUGAUGGUUGGACGUUGAGAGUGAAAUGUGAUCAACAUAACCAUCCACCUGCACAACAUAUGGAAGGACAUGCUUAUGCUAGACGGUUGAAAGAAAACGAAAAAAAGUUGGUGGCCGACUUGACAAGUCAGAAUGUUGAACCACGCAACAUACUCUCGAUACUAAAAGAGCAUGAUGAGAAUAAUGUUUCUAUACUCAAAACCAUAUACAAUGCACAAUACAAGCUUCACUCGUCCCAGAACGAUGGAAAAACUCCGAUGCAGGUAUAAUAUUUCAACAAGUAUAUUUUACAUAUAAUUUAUAUAUUGAAUUUUUAUUAAUUAACGAUAUUUCAAUGUAGGUUCUUAUGGGAAUUUUGAAUGAUAAAAAAUUUGUUAUCGAGUUUUCCGUAAAUAAUAUUUCAAAUGAAUUGGAAAACCUGUUUUUCAUUCAUCCUCUUUCGUUAGAUAUAUGGCAAGCAUUUCCACACGUUUUGAUUAUUGAUGCAACAUACAAAACAAACAAAUAUGCUAUGCCUUUUGUUGAGAUUGUUGGAGUAACUUCAACCAACAAGACAUUUAGCAUUGCUUUUGCCUUUAUCAUUAAUGAAAAGGAGGAAAGUUAUAAGUGGGUGUUAAUGUGUCUAAGGUUGACACUAGAAAAGUGCAUGCAACCACGCGUUAUAAUGACGGACAGAGAAUUGGCAUUGGUGAAUGCAUGCCAACAAGUUUUCCCUUAUGCAACUCGCUUACUUUGUCGAUGGCACAUUACCGAAAAUAUUAGAAAGCAUUGUAAGGCGCUAAUCCCAUUGAAAGCUGAGUGGAAAUCCUUUCGUGCUAUGUGGAGUAUACUUGUUGAGUCUCCAACAUGGACAUCAUACACUGAAAACUACAGAAAACUGCAGUCAAUGUUAAGAGAACAUCAAGGUACAAUGCUACUUAUUUUUUAAUUACUUGUUUAUAAAUUUAGAAGACUUUUUAUGUAUAAAUAACAUUUAUAUAAAUCCAGAUGUCUUACAAUAUUUGGACGAUGUUUGGUUAAACAAGUAUAAGGAAAUGUUUGUCUCUGUUUGGAUUGAUCAACAUCUGAACUUUGGACAACGAACUAGUAGCAGAGUUGAGGGCCAACAUUCAGUGUUAAAGAAGUACUUACAAGAAAAAAAUUAUUCUUUAGCUAAAUUUGUUGGUGCUAUUGAUCGGUUUGUGAAGUCUCAACUUACUGCAAUAAAUGAGAGUUUUGAAAAGAGCAUGAUUGUCUCCAAACACGAACACAGAUUUUCGUGUUUCGACUUAUUGCGGGGUAACGUUUCACUUAAAGCUCUAGAUAUGCUUAUAGAGGAACUUCAACGGGUACAUCAAGUUGACUCUUCAAACUGUGGUUGUAAACUACAAAAUAGUUGUGGUUUACCAUGUGCUUGCAUGCUAUCAGCGUACUUGAACUCCGGUGGGUACAUUUGACAAUUAUUUUUUUAAUUUAAGUUAUAUAUUGGUUGUUUAUAUAUUAAUGAUAUUUCAAUGCAGGUGAGUGUAUUCCAUUGGAAUCGAUAGAUGUAUUCUGGAGAAAGCUUAAAAUUUCACCAUCAAUUCCUAUGGAAAAUGAAGAUAUAUGUGGUGAUGGUAAAUUUGAAAUGUUUAAAGAAACCUACAAUAAGCAACCGGAAGCUGUGAAAAAAAGCAUGAUGAGAAAGCUACUAGAUAUAUUCCAGCCUAGUAAAACACACAUUAGAGAACCCGCAAUUCAAAAAAAUACACGUGGACGACCAAGUUUGAAGAAACAAAAACAAAAACAAACUGAUUCUAUCAAUCAAGCUCCUAGAAGACGCAACUUUUCAACCAUGCCAAAAUUUGUUGAGUUGAACAAUAGGGAUCCGGCAAGACAUAGUUCAUACAUAACCACAAUUCCAGACUUGAAUGAAAUUCCAGACUUGAAAGAAGAGCCAGACUUGAAUGAAAUUCCAGACUUGAAGGAAGAGCCAGACUUGAAUGAAAUUCCAGACUUGAAGGAAGAGCCUCAAUCAUGCUACAAUCAUCGACUAAUAGAUGAAAUCCAAGUGAUGUUUCAUCCUUACAUCACACAUAUACAAGAUGUAGAGGGGGAUGGAAACUGUGGAUUUCGAGCAAUAUCUGUUUGUCUUGGGUAUGGCGAGAAUGACUGGCUCUAUGUUCGACGUCAACUACUAGACGAGUUAUUGAGUUCGUACGAUGCAUAUGCUAGAGUUUUCACUGAUGGAAUCGGUGAACUAUAUACUUCGUUGAAUUUCUUAGAAUCACCGGCACCUAAAAGAUACUGGUUACUUAUGCCUGAAACAGGUAUCCUCAUUGCCAACAGAUUUGGUGUAGUCCUUACUUUUUUAACCAACCAAGGCUCUCUCACUUUCUUUCCUCUUUGGAAAGGUCCGGAAGAAUUUUUGUACCAUCGCGUUAUUACGAUUUCACUUGUAUAUGGUAAUCAUUAUGUGAUGGUACAAUUAGAAGGAGAUUGUCCGCUGCCUACCAUUUCAGCUUUCUGGAUCCGCCACAAAGCCCCAUGUGCAGCUGGAUGGGAAACUAUGUUCAUGUCACGUCUAGAACUUUAUAGACAACUGAAACCUUACAAUCCUGAAACACCUUUUAUAACUAUAGAGGAUUGUUAGAGGGUAUUAAUUUUCUCUCGAAUUAUGCAUUUAUGUAUUCAUGAAGGAUUGCUAAUGCUAUUGUUUUUUGCAUCAUAUUUUUGUUUUUAUGUAUUAAUUUAUAUUUAAUUAUUAAAUAAUAUACAAAUAUAUAUAUAUAUAUAUAUGUUAUUAAUCUAUAUUAAUUAAAAAUAAAUAAUUAAUCAUUUAUAUUUAAUUUAUAUAUAUAUAUGUUUUAAUUACUCCAAAAAAAAUAUUAAUAUUCAAGCAUAAAAUGAAAAAGAAAAGAAAAAUAAAAAGUAAAUAAAAUAAAAAUAAAAAGAAGGCAUGUAAAUUAAAGAAAAACAAAAAGUUAGGUAUAUAAACUUCAAUAUAAAAAGACAUUGUUGAUUUUUUUUUUUAUUAGGGUGUUUUUUUAGUAUAGGUUGUGUUUUUAGUAAAUGGGGGUGUUUAUUUAGCCUAUAGUCAUGUGGUAAAUAUACAACAAACACAAUUUUAUGUCAUUUAAAGUCACCAAUCACAAAUCACAAUUCAAUUCAGAGUAUUAAAUGAUCACAAAAAGAAUAAUUAAUUAGAAAUCAGAAAUGAAGCCAAAGUUUAAUUCAUUAACCUUCAGUUUUUUUGAGUUGUUUAAACCAAGAUAAUAUUGAUCUUAUAGUCUCGUAUCACCUGGUUUCCUUUUUGUGUACCUGGAGAAAUCAAGAACAAAACUGUUAAGCAUCCAUUUAAAAAUGGACUUAAACGUUAUCUCAUAAUCAACUACUCGGAUGGAAGACAUAAUAUUUAAUUAUUGCUGCAAUAAACAAUGAAAACUUCACAUCGUAAUCAGAAAAAUUACCAACUACAUAAUUGGUGCAAAAAGAAAGACAGGUUGAUUUCUACCAAGUCUCUUCUACAAGUCCAACCAUUUUCCAACAAAACAUGAAGUUUGGGUUUAAUUAAACAUAAAAAUCGGCACUUUAAGAUAGGUAGGUGCAACAAUGUUGUUUUACGAACAUCACAAUGCAGUAAAGCAGUGAAUGAAAGAACAUGGAUAAGAACAGAUGCUAAUUCAUUUCGAAAAACCUAUAGGCAACAAAACUAAUUUCAAAAAGAAAUGAGGUGAUUUCUACUAAUUCACGUCCACAACUCCAACAAUCUUCCAGGAACACAAAGACGAAUCCAAUUGAACUUAACAAGAAGCGAUAACAAAACCAGUAAAUAUGAACGACAACGAUAGAAAUCAAUAGAUAUUGCAAUUGAAAAACUAACAGAUGACACAUUUAGUAUUGACAAACUAAUUCCCACAAGAAACAAAAGCAAUUUCUAUGCUAUCAUUCAACAACUCCAUAGUCUUCCAUUAUAACACACACAAUCCAGCCAAAUCAAACCUAAAAACAGGCGUUUAAGAUAUGCAGGUGCGACAAUGAUGAUGAUCGAAUAAAGCACAUAAGAAUCGGUGGUGGAUCCUUUUCAGAAGAUCUUAGAUAGCACAAUUAGCAUACGAAAAUAACGUAAUUGCUACUAAAUCACCUUAAUAACAGGUCAAACUCAAAUUUUAGUAUAAUUAAAACUGAAACCUAUUAAGAAGUAGCAUCAGAAUCCGGAGAAACAGUGCACAGAUGAUGAAGAACGGGAAUCAAUACUUAAACAGAGAAUCACUGGUUGGGUGGAAAGAGAAAACUGCAAAGAAAUUUAAGCAACAUUUUUAUCGAUUAAUCCAAAAGUAGAAAUACUUGUUAUGCAUGAAUCGACCGAAGCAUACUGAAAUCACAAAUGCAAUUACUUGAAAGAUCAGACAAGAAUAUCAUUGAUUGUAGUUGACUUGCUUUAAAUUAAUGAUAGAAUUUUCAGACGACUCGACCAUUGAUGGAGGAAAAUUCGUCGAUACCUUUUCAGAUUUCCCAAUAUAUGGAUUAUUGCUCGAUUGCGUGAGGGAGAAAAUAAAUAUCGUUCGGAUCUAUGAACGACAGGGAGCCAUUGCUUUGUUCAGAUCUUCAAUUAAAAGAGGAAAGCAAGAUGAGAUCGGCGAUGGCUGUGACUGCGACGAACCAAGGAUGGAGAUGUGUGAGGACGUGAGAGAAAUUACAUCCGGGGAGGAAUAAAGAGAGGAAGUGUGGGUUUUUUU
rnacentral:lncRNA from 1 species